rnacentral:rRNA from 1 species
GGGUUGUGAGGUUAAGCGACUAAGCGUACACGGUGGAUGCCCUGGCAGUCAGAGGCGAUGAAGGACGUGCUAAUCUGCGAUAAGCGUCGGUAAGGUGAUAUGAACCGUUAUAACCGGCGAUUUCCGAAUGGGGAAACCCAGUGUGWUUCGWCACACUAUCAUUAACUGAAUCCAUAGGUUAAUGAGGCGA